AAUUUGCCUCGUAAGUGCCAAAGUAUUGAUGAUAUUUUGAAAAAGUUUUGAGCAUUCGCUGGGCCAAUGUUGCACCAUUAACAAAAAGUAUCCUUGAGUAUCCUUCAAAACUAUCAAAACUUAUACUAAAUAAAGGAAAAUUCACAAAGGAAUUUAUUAUAUGUACGUGUGCACCAAAUGAUUGGAGAAUUCGAUAAACAGAUAGAGUAGUAUCUGGUUACAAUAAAAGUAGGUCUAUUGCUAAGAUUGUAACUAUUAAAAAAUAAUUGAUCCAAUAAAUACGUGUAUUCACUUAAAUUAUGUACAACUGAGACUGUAUUAUAUAAUUUAAGAUUGUCAAGUGCUAUUUCCUAUAAAAUCUAUAAUUUAACAUAUUUACAAAUUUGCGCUGUAGGCUCUUAAGUCGGUUGAGAGUAUUGGUCAAAUCAAUCUUGGUAAGGGUUUACUUGUUCUACAAAAAAUAAAAGGGAUGGAUUACUGGUGGGUAUUUGUCGAGUAUCAAGGAUCAGUUAAACGCAAGGAAAACGUAUCAGUAGUGGUUGAGCAGUUGGCAGAGUUGAUAGAACAAGAGCACGACGAUAAGUAGCGGAAUACGCGACUAUUCUUUUACGGACCAAUUAUGACGUAAUAUUAUCAAAGACGGGAGAAGGGCUACUUUCUCUAUAUAUUUAAAGACGGUAAUAAAAGAUCAGAGCGUAUCUUUUGUUCUAAAAGGUAAAACGAUUUCCCGAUAAUGUAUUUAUUAAAAGACGUGUCAACUAAACUAAAGACAUUCUACGAUUUAAUUAAAAUAAGUCAAUACGUUUAAUAAAAGAAGUUGAUACUUA